rnacentral:lncRNA from 1 species
CUUGGAAUAGGCCUUAUUCUAUUUCCCAAUAAAAUAUUUUUUGAGGGUAGGAUCACAUGUUAAUUCACGGUAAGAUAUAAAUAAUCUAUGAAGUAUAUAUUCCUCUUGAUACGUGGGAAGAGGAUUGAUGGAUCGCUUUUUGUUACUAAUGCCUUUGUAAAGUGUAAUCAUUAGAUCAUGUGAGUCAUAAGCACCUGCUGUUUGUUGAGCAUGUAGCACCGGACUUCUGAAUCAGAAUCCCUCUCUGGAUUCUAACAUCUCUAUGGGGGCCCUGGAAUCUGAGGCUGGUACACACUAGGGUUUGAAAACCAGUGAACUAGAGGAUUAGAGUCGGGGCAGAAGAAGCUACAAACACAGACACAGAGUGGCUCACAGUCAGGGCCGGCUAAGGAAAGGCAAUGCACCAAACCCAAACAGCUAAUCUCUAAACUUUGCCUGACUGCUUCUCAAUAUCCUGCUUCACAGAUGAAGAUGCAGAAAAUACACUGGAGGUCUCCUACUCAAGACAUCAGCAACAACAGCAUCGCCUGGAAGCUUGUUCGAAAUACAGAAUAUCAGGACCCCAGCCAGAUGUCCUGAACUAAUGGCUUGGGCGUUACUUACUUUGACCUUUGACUACAUGUCCUAUACUUCAACCCUUGUUUGAACCUUCAACUUCUGGCCUUGACCCUGUCUCUCCCUAAAUCUCAGCAGAGCAAGGGAUAAAAGGAUCUUAAUUUCUACAUACAGAUGAAGUACUUGUGUUAGGUAAGUUUAAU